rnacentral:rRNA from 1 species
AACGAACGCUGGCGGCAUGCCUAACACAUGCAAGUCGAACGAGACCUUCGGGUCUAGUGGCGCACGGGUGCGUAACGCGUGGGAAUCUGCCCUUGGGUUCGGAAUAACAGUUAGAAAUGACUGCUAAUACCGGAUAAUGACGUAAGUCCAAAGAUUUAUCGCCCAAGGAUGAGCCCGCGUAGGAUUAGCUUGUUGGUAAGGUAAAGGCUCACCAAGGCGACGAUCCUUAGCUGGUCUGAGAGGAUGAUCAGCCACACUGGGACUGAGACACGGCCCAGACUCCUACGGGAGGCAGCAGUGGGGAAUAUUGGACAAUGGGCGAAAGCCUGAUCCAGCAAUGCCGCGUUAGUGAUGAAGGCCUUAGGGUUGUAAAGCUCUUUUACCCGGGAUGAUAAUGACAGUACCGGGAGAAUAAGCCCCGGCUAACUCCGUGCCAGCAGCCGCCGCGGUAA